rnacentral:rRNA from 1 species
AUUGAACGCUGGCGGCAGGCCUAACACAUGCAAGUCGAGCGAGCGGCGGACGGGUGAGUAAUGUCUGGGGACUGCCCGAUAGAGGGGGAUAACUACUGGAAACGGUGGCGAAUACCGCAUACUGGCGGAUAACCUAUAUGGGAUUAGCUAGUAGGUAAGGUAAUGGCAUACCUAGGCUACGAUCACUAGCUGGUCUGAGAGGAUGAUCAGCCACACUGGGACUGAGACACGGCCCAGACUCCUACGGAGGCAGCAGUGGGGAAUAUUGCACAAUGGGCGCAAGCCUGAUGCAGCCAUGCCGCGUGUGUGAAGAAGGCCCUAGGGUUGUAAAGUACUUUCAGUCGGGAGGCGUUACCGACAGAAGAAGCACCGGCUAACUCCGUGCCAGCAGCCGCGGUAAUAC